AGAGUUUGAUCCUGGCUCAGGAUGAACGCUGGCGGCGUGCUUAACACAUGCAAGUCGAACGGGCGUAGCAAUACGUCAGUGGCAGACGGGUGAGUAACACGUGGGAACCUUCCUAGGGGUACGGAACAACUCAGGGAAACUUGAGCUAAUACCGUAUACGUCCGUGAGGAGAAAGAUUUAUCGCCCUUAGACGGGCCCGCGUCGGAUUAGCUAGUUGGUGGGGUAACGGCCAACCAAGGCGACGAUCCGUAGCUGAUCUGAGAGGAUGAUCAGCCACACUGGGACUGAGACACGGCCCAGACUCCUACGGGAGGCAGCAGUGGGGAAUCUUGGACAAUGGGCGCAAGCCUGAUCCAGCCAUGCCGCGUGAGUGAAGAAGGCCUUCGGGUUGUAAAGCUCUUUUGUCAGGGACGAUAAUGACGGUACCUGAAGAAUAAGCCCCGGCAAACUUCGUG
rnacentral:rRNA from 1 species